CAGCAGCCGCGGGAAUACGAAGGGUGCAAGCGUUACUCGGAAUUACUGGGCGUAAAGCGUGCGUAGGUGGUGGUUUAAGUCCGUUGUGAAAGCCCUGGGCUCAACCUGGGAAUUGCAGUGGAUACUGGGUCACUAGAGUGUGGUAGAGGAUAGUGGAAUUUCCGGUGUAGCAGUGAAAUGCGUAGAGAUCGGAAGGAACAUCUGUGGCGAAGGCGACUACCUGGGCCAACACUGACACUGAGGCACGAAAGCGUGGGGAGCAAACAGGAUUAGAUACCCCUGUAGUCCCUGUCUCUUAUAA
rnacentral:rRNA from 1 species